rnacentral:rRNA from 1 species
UGUGACCUCAAAUCAGGUAGGACUACCCGCUGAACUUAAGCAUAUCAAUAAGCGGAGGAAAAGAAACUAACAAGGAUUCCCCUAGUAACUGCGAGUGAAGCGGGAAAAGCUCAAAUUUAAAAUCUGGCGGUCUUUUGGCUGUCCGAGUUGUAAUCUAGAGAAGUGUUAUCCGCGCUGGACCGUGUACAAGUCUCCUGGAAUGGAGCAUCAUAGAGGGUGAGAAUCCCGUCUUUGACAUGGACUGCCAGGGCUUUGUGAUGCGCUCUCAAAGAGUCGAGUUGUUUGGGAAUGCAGCUCAAAAUGGGUGGUAAAUUCCAUCUAAAGCUAAAUAUUGGCGAGAGACCGAUAGCGAACAAGUACCGUGAGGGAAAGAUGAAAAGAACUUUGGAAAGAGAGUUAAACAGUACGUGAAAUUGCUGAAAGGGAAACGCUUGAAGUCAGUCGCGUCAUCCAGGGAUCAACCUUGCUUUUGCUUGGUGCACUUUCUGGUUUGAUGGGUCAGCAUCAAUUUCGACUAUUGGAAAAAGGCU